CAUGGAAAAGGACUGGAGUUUGACACCCGUGGGAUGUCUGAUGCCUGACAAGUCACAGUAUCAUUUGGAGGUUUGAAUACACUCAUCAUGGACAUACAAUGAGUUUCUUCAUGAUGUAAGAACUAACAGAAGCCAUCUCUGAGCUCCAGCCCUAAACUUUGCUACUGUGAUGUUGGCUUGUUUGGAGAAUUCCCCAAGCAGUUUUCUCUUCCAGAUCAAGUUUCCAUUUAAACUGCAGUUUGAGCAAUUUUAAUUUUGAAAAGUCAGAAUAUGUCGUCUCGUCUCCUUAAAUACCGUAUACACCUGGCUCACUAUUUACAUCCUUGAAGGUCUACAGUCAAGCAGGGGUGCCUGCGUAAGAACCCGUCUUUCCUGAUUUUAUCGCUCAAGAAUUCGUUAUUCUGGGCACAGAAUCAACAUCAGACACGUCAUCACAAUCCUUUUUGGUUUUAGAGGAAGGGAGGGUAGGAAAGGGCUCACAGAGCAGUUCAACUGACAAACCUACUUGGGAGAAGGGGCUAGGUGAAGGAGGCCUCUGAAAGCGGGGUUGGGGUUUAAAUACUGGUCUGCAAGGUUUGAUGGAAACAGAUGUCAAACAGGAACUCGUGUGUUUAACGUCUCCUCUGCAACAAGCUUCCUGAUCUGCCUCGACAGGCGCCGGCCUGCAAACUGCUGCCUCAUACUUCACCUCGGACCGUCUGUGACCUACUUUCUGCUGGGAUGUGGAAAGUCAAAACAAAAAAGUCUAUUGUGACUGUACUGCUGCUCUGAUCUGUUACGGACACCUAGUGUGAUGUCUAGGAGAAAAGAGAGUGGACUUUUUGACCAGACUCUAUAACACAAUUCCAGAUAUUGAGAACUGAGUCCUGACCUCAACCCAACAGAACAGCUUUGGGAUAAAUUACAGUGGAGACCGCAGGAAAGACCUACUGGUCCAACAUCAGUGUGUCACCUCACAAAUGUGCAUCCAAGAAAGAUUCUCAAAUACGAAGAGUUGAACAGCACCUACACACCUACUGGCUGGAUAAGCUAACUGCACAAACAGUUAACUGAUGAGACGCACCUGGUACAACUAACUGAAGGGCGGACAGUACUGAUCCCCAAGGAUCCCCAGAAGGGACCGGUCACAUCCAACUACUGGUCAAUAACCUGCCUAAGCACAACAUGAAAUCUCCUAUCAGGCACAAUAGCGGCUAAGAUGAGAGAAUAGGAGACAGAACAUCAUCCACUCUGGUCCUGAAUACAGUGCUCUUUUCACACUAUUCACUAACGGCUGUACAGCUAUCCGCUCCUCAAACACGGUUCUGAAGUUUCCAGACAACACCACUGUAGUGGGUCUUAUAACAAACAAUGAUGAGAUCCUCCACAGGGAGAAGAUCCAGCACCUGGUGUUUACUGAACAAUCUGCUGCUUAACACCAGCAAGGCCAGGGAGGUCAUAGUAGACUACAGAAGGUUCAGGAGGACAGAGCAGCCACCUCUCCUCAUCCAAGGGAAGGUGGUGGAGUGUGUCGAUAACAUCAAAUUCCAGAUCUGACUUGGCCACUGAACACCUCCUUUCUGGUGAGGAAGGCUCCACAAAGACUCUUCUUCUUCAGGAAACUGAAGAGAGCUGGACUCUCCCCCCAGUUGCUCAGAACUUUUACAGAGCUGUGAUCGAGAACAUCCUCUGCCACAGUACGACUGUGGUAUUGCAGCUGCAUCUUUUUUUGUAUUUUCUUUAUCACCGAGGGCACCACUGUAAUUUUUGUUAUGUUCUAGCAAC